rnacentral:rRNA from 1 species
CUACGGGCGGCUGCAGUGGGGAAUCUUCCACAAUGGGCGAAAGCCUGAUGGAGCAACGCCGCGUGAGUGAAGAAGGUUUUCGGAUCGUAAAACUCUGUUGUAAGGGAAGAACAAGUACAGUAGUAACUGGCUGUACCUUGACGGUACCUUAUUAGAAAGCCACGGCUAACUACGUGCCAGCAGCCGCGGUAAUACGUAGGUGGCAAGCGUUGUCCGGAAUUAUUGGGCGUAAAGCGCGCGCAGGCGGUCCUUUAAGUCUGAUGUGAAAGCCCACGGCUCAACCGUGGAGGGUCAUUGGAAACUGGGGGACUUGAGUGCAGAAGAGGAAAGUGGAAUUCCAAGUGUAGCGGUGAAAUGCGUAGAGAUUUGGAGGAACACCAGUGGCGAAGGCGACUUUCUGGUCUGUAACUGACGCUGAGGCGCGAAAGCGUGGGGAGCAAACAGGAUUAGAUACCCUCGUAGUC